rnacentral:tRNA from 1 species
GGAGAUGUAUCUCAGUUGGUAGAGCGAUGGAAAUAUUAUGUGUGUUUUGUAUAAGACAUCAACAGCAAAUAUUAAUCAAGGGCAGCCAUUUGUCGGGAGUUCGAAUCUCUCCAUCUCCA